ACUCCUACGGGAGGCAGCAGUGGGGAAUAUUGCACAAUGGGCGCAAGCCUGAUGCAGCCAUGCCGCGUGUAUGAAGAAGGCCUUCGGGUUGUAAAGUACUUUCAGCAGUGAGGAAGGUGGGUAUGUUAAUAGCAUAUUCAUUUGACGUUAGCUGCAGAAGAAGCACCGGCUAACUCCGUGCCAGCAGCCGCGGUAAUACGGAGGGUGCGAGCGUUAAUCGGAAUUACUGGGCGUAAAGCGCAUGCAGGUGGUUUGUUAAGUCAGAUGUGAAAGCCCGGGGCUCAACCUCGGAAUUGCAUUUGAAACUGGGCAAACUAGAGUACUGUAGAGGGGGGGUAGAAUUUCAGGUGUAGCGGUGAAAUGCGUAGAGAUCUGAAGGAUACCGGUGGCGAAGGCGGCCCCCUGGACAGAUACUGACACUCAGAUGCGAAAGCGUGGGGAGCAAACAGGAUUAGAACCCUGGUAGGCUCUGC
rnacentral:rRNA from 1 species